CCUACGGGAGGCAGCAGUGGGGAAUAUUGGGCAAUGGGCGCAAGCCUGACCCAGCAACGCCGCGUGAAGGAAGAAGGCUUUCGGGUUGUAAACUUCUUUUAAGAGGGAAGAGCAGAAGACGGUACCUCUUGAAUAAGCCACGGCUAACUACGUGCCAGCAGCCGCGGUAAUACGUAGGUGGCAAGCGUUGUCCGGAUUUACUGGGGGUAAAGGGCGUGCAGCCGGGAAGACAAGUCAGAUGUGAAAUCCCGCGGCUCAACCGCGGAACUGCAUUUGAAACUGUUUUUCUUGAGUACCGGAGAGGUCAUCGGAAUGCCUGGUGUAGCGGUGAAAUGCGUAGAGAUAAGGAAGAACACCAGUGGCGAAGGCGGAUGACUGGACGGCAACUGACGGUGAGGCGCGAAAGCGUGGGGAGCAAACAGGAUUAGAUACCCUAGUAGUC
rnacentral:rRNA from 1 species